UGAGUAACCUGCCCUAGGCUUUGGGAUAACCCUCGGAAACGGGGGACUAAUACUGGAUAUUCCCGCGGGAUCGCAUGGUUUUGUGGGGAAAGGUUUUCCGGCUUGGGAUGGGCUCGCGGCCUAUCAGCUUGUUGGUGGGGUGAUGGCCUACCAAGGCGACGACGGGUAGCCGGCCUGAGAGGGCGACCGGCCACACUGGGACUGAGACACGGCCCAGACUCCUACGGGAGGCAG
rnacentral:rRNA from 1 species